AGCUGAAUUUGCAAUAUCACUGCCUUAUUUCCCUGCAGUUAAAAAGGAAAGAAUUGGAAUAUUUAUGAAUUUAAACAUUAGUAUUUUUGCAAGUCUUUGAGGCUGUCGUUUUGAUUUAUGUGGGCUACAUUUAGAUUUGCAUGUAAGCCCAGCCCUUGAUUGCUUUGAAACCUUUUGGUUUCACACAAACUGUUGUGUGUGAGCUGCAGUGAUGUCUCUGCUGCAGAACUCUGCAGCCCCGGUGAUUCCCCUCCAACAACUUCUGGAUCCUGCUGCUUCUGGAGAUGAUGGCACACCUUCAGCCAGCAAAGGUUUGCACUGGGGGAUUAUUUACUGGAGACUUGCAGUGUGCCAGAAUGUAAUUCCUGAGAUUGUAAGAAAGGUAACUCAGUCAAGUUGUAAAACCUUAAUGCUUUGCUGUGGUUUGUCUUGUUUGAAGGGAUCACAUUUCCUCAGCUGGCUUUUUUUGAGAGGAGCUGCUGCUGAGGAGGAGUCUGAGCCUUUCCCUGCUGUGGGCCCUGCUGGGCUGGGCUGCCCUGCCCAAACUGGCUCCUCUGGGGGAGGUGUGGGGCCAGGGCACCUGCAGGGUCUGGGGUCCUGCCUGGCUCUGAGCAGCCCCCUGAGCCCUGGGGCUUGUGUGGGGCUGGGGAGGCCGAGUGCUGUCACUGGGGCAAUCUGUGAUGUGCCCUGCAGAGCCCCAGUGCUGCCCAGAGGCAGAAACGCUGCCCGAACACCAGACCUGAUCCUACCCUGGCCUCUAUUGUCUUGUUUGUUUGUUUGUUUAAAGCUCUAAUUCUUCCAUUCCCCAGGUCGGGCUAUUGGUCUGACCCUGACCCAACACCUGCUUGGAAAAGGAAUCUGCCUUAGCACACAGAAAAGAAACCCAGCUCCGCACACCCUGCCGCGGACACGGCUGUGCCCCUGCAGGUGGGGAGGCCGGGCGGGGCUGAGCCCCGUGCUGCAGCCCAGCCCCUCAGAAAGGGCUUUCUGUGCCCGUCGGGGUGCCCGGGGUGGCAGCUUUGGGGAUUUCCUGGCUCCUGAGAGCGUCUGCAGUGUCUGCAGCUCUCCCUGCCUUGCUCCCACACCGGGCUGGGCUCUUUGGCCAGAGCACAGGUAACUGCUGGGAUCAGUGUUCAGUGGAUGGAAUCUGCAGCAGAGCAGGUGGGUACAGCCUCUGCUCUGCUCUCCUGCCGCCAGCAGCUGCUUGGACAGAGCUUUAAACAUUAUCAGCUCCCUCCUGCUUGCCAGCCCUCAGCAUGGAGUGUGCUCCUUCCCACUCCUCUCCUCUCCUCUCCUCUCCUCUCCUCUCCUCUCCUCUCCUCUCCUCUCCUCUCCUCUCCUCUCCUCUCCUCUCCUCUCCUCUCCUCUCCUCUCCUCUCCUCUCCUCUCC
rnacentral:lncRNA from 1 species